GGUGAGAUUUGAACUGAGUCUUGCAGAAAACUCAAUAACUUAAGAUAUGGAGGUUAAGGUGUAAAGCAUUCUAAGCUUAGGGCACAGCUCUAGUGAAAAGGCAAAGAGAUAGAGAAGCUUCCAUCAAAGAGGAAGAGUUUGGGGAUAAACAUAAAACAUUGUAGAGGGGAUAAAACAAUUUCAAAUUUAUUCUACAAACAUUGAUUAAGUGAUUAUUAUGGAGACCUUUGGAGAAGAAAAUUACGCCAAAUAAUGUGGAUGAGAAAGACAGAUUGCAAGUUUUUUGAGGAUGGGGCUGUGCUGGUUUUCAUUCUUCUAUGUACAACAUCCAACCCCUGGACAAAUCACUUAACCUUUCCUCAGCAUCCUCAAUUGAAGCUGUUGUUUGUCCUUCUUUCUAAAUAAAGACAUCAAAGAGAUGAUGCCUUGACAUGCAAAUGAACUGGAUUUGAAUGAAGGGCAUUUAUAAGUGCACUUUGAGGUAGUUUUUACUUUUUAAAAUGUUUUUUCUCCAUUUAUUUUUUAUUUUAUUUUUUACUUAAUCCUCAUUUAAGACUUAUAACAACUCUAUAAGGAAAGUACAGGAUGUUAUUAUUUCCAUUAAGUGAAGUUAUAUUUGUAAAGCUCUUAGAAAAGUGCCUGACAUAUAGCAGAUACUUAAUAAUGGCUUAUUUCCCCUUGCUUCUAUUUUACAAAGAAAGAAACUGAGGCAUAGAAAAUUAUUAUUAGCUUUAGAUGUGGUAUUUGAGAACAAAUAUUCCUGACUCUGUGGCUAACCUUCUUUCACAAAUGCAAGGUUGCUUCAUAAUUUGUCAGUCAUAAUUAAAUGAGUGUCGCCUGCCAGAAAACUAAAACUAGUUCUGUUUCACCUAGGUCACUGAUGAAGGAUGGUGGAAUGAAAAGACUAUUGAACUUUAAGUUGGAAGACAUGGAUUAAAAUCCUAUUAGCUUUAUGAUCCUGGAUAAAUUAGUUCCUGAUUCAAAGCCCAGUCCUCUGCCUUUUAUGCCUCUGUAUAAAGAACCACAUCAAUAAGCAAUUUAAGAUAGCUACAAUGUCCUCAUCUAAAAAAACAAUGAUAACCAAUAAACUUUGGCUGCAAAGCACUACCUGCAUCCAGAGAGAGAAUUAUGGAAACUGAUUGUAAUUGAAUAUUUAUAUUCACUUUUUUUUCCUGUUCUUUUUUUUCCACUUGUGGUUUUUUCCUUUCGUUGUGAUUUUUUUUCUCCCAACAUGAUUCAUCAGGAAUUGUGUUUUUAAAAAUUAACGUACGUGCAUAACUAUAAAAAAUAAAUCAAUAAAAUUCUAAAUAAAAAAAACAGGAAUAAUAGUACUUACCUCUUCCCUGGGUUGUUUCAAAGAUUCAAUGAGAUAAUAACUGUAAAAUAUUUAGCACAAUGCCUCAACACAAAGCAUUGUUUUGUUGUUGCUGUUUGUUCUUUGAAAAUUAGCUAUAUAAAUCCAGCAUCAGACAUUUACUAACUAUGGGCAUCUGGGCAAAUCAUUUCACCUUUUCUCAUCAUCCUCAACUGAUGCUGUUGUUUGUCCUUCCUUCUUGAAGAGAACAUCAGAGAGGUCACCAUGACAAGAAAAUGAAACAUAUUUGAGUGAGGGAAGCCUGUGCAAGGUCACCUGCCUCACUUUCUCUUCCAGAACCACAUGGAUCCAGCAGCAAGAUAUAGAUGAGAUGACUGGAGAUGGGCCUGCAUGCAGUGGGAGACCUUGAUCUUUUUAAGGGUCAUCAGGGUCUAGUAACAAGAAAAAGUCAGGAUGACUGGAGGUGGCUCCCCACUAAAAAGUACAAAGAAGCAGAAGAUAACCAAAUAGAACUAACACUAUAUAAAGGAGAUCCAUGAUGGCUGCAGUACACAUGUGAGUUAGAGAUCACUAAUGAAGGCAUGAAAAAGAAUCUCAAACAGACCUUCUAGUGAUUCCAAAAAGAUGCCCAAGGAAACAUCAGUGACCAACAACCUACGUGUCUUCACUCCAGUUUAUAUGCAAUCUUCAUGAGCAUCAUCUCUACACAAAUCAAGGGCAUCCUUAAUGAGAAUACUAUUAGGGAACAAAGAGGCAUUAAAUUGUGGGUUCCUUGAAAAGAAGAACUGGCUUUUGCCUUUCUCAGUAUUCCCAGCACCUAAUACAGUGCCUGACAUAUAGAUGCUUAAUAAAUGCUGACGUUUAACUGUAGAUACCAUCUUUAUCCUGCCAUGAUUGAUUAAAAGAGAUAAGAUACUAUGAUUAUUGUUUAGUUUAUUGACUAAAAGAGUUUAUUAGUUUAUUAUGUGUAUUAUGUGUAAAAAAAAUUUUGAAGAAGUAGAGCAAAAUGCCAUCUUAUAAGCUUUUUUCUACAAGAUAUAUUUUUCCCCAUCAAACAAUCAAUCAUCAAUCCACAAACAUUCAGUAAUUACUUACUGUGUGCCGGGGAUUGUGUAAAGUACUGGGAAUAAAAAAAAGCAAAAAUACAA